rnacentral:lncRNA from 1 species
GUGUACUCGCAUACUCUCACUCACACUUUUUAACCAUGAUUUACAAGAAUGAAAUGUUCAUAAAAAUAUAUUCAUAAAUCAAAUUCUCAUAAAUCAGACAGUAACUUCCUACUGAUAUAAAUGAAAAAAUUAUGAUUCUUGAUUCCAAAUAUAUUAUUCAUUUUUCACUAAAAACAUCAUGAACUACCAUUUACUUAUAUAAACGAUGGCAAAAUUACAUCAAAUAAUUGUAAUAAUACAACCUAGAAAAACAAUUAUCUUUAAAAAAAUCCAUAAUAAACCAAUGCAUAGUAUAGAAAUGAUACAUAAACUUCCUUCUAUGCAGCCAUAUAAUAAAGUUGUAAUAUGCUAUUUGAAAAAUCUAGAUACAGUUUCAAUCCCAUAUUUGACAUUUUUAAAAGAUGUGGAUCCAGCCUGUCAGUCUUGAUUCUUGAAGACUUAUUGGCUAAUUCAGUCAAGUUAUUAAAUGGCAAGAGGUCAUUCCAGGAUGUGGUAGAUUCCAGAAUGACUCUUGCCAUCUAAUAGCUUCUAAUUGAAAAAAAGAAUAAAAUACAAAAUAAAAAAUGCCUCUAAUAAAAGUCAAUUCCUAGUUGCUGUUUAGCAAUUUCAAUAAAAUAUUCUUUGCCUGAAAAUAAGUCUUCAUAAUUCACUAGGAAUAUU